GACUACCGGGGUAUCUAAGCCUGUUUGCUCCCCACGCUUUCGCGCCUCAGCGUCAGUAUCCAGCCAGAAAGUCGCCUUCGCCACCGGUAUUCCUCCCGAUAUCUACGAAUUUCACCUCUACACCGGGAAUUCCACUUUCCCCUCUGGUACUCAAGUCUGGCAGUUUCAAAUGCACUUCCACGGUUAAGCCGUGGGCUUUCACAUCUGACUUACCAAACCGCCUGCGCGCCCUUUACGCCCAGUGAUUCCGAACAACGCUUGCACCCUCCGUAUUACCGCGGCUGCUGGCACGGAGUUAGCCGGUGCUUCCUUUAAGGGUACCGUCAAAUAUAACAGGUAUUAGCCAUUAUACAUUUCUUUCCCUUUGACAGAGCUUUACGACCCGAAGGCCUUCCUCACUCACGCGGCGUCGCUGCGUCAGGGUUGCCCCCAUUGCGCAAUAUUCCUCACUGCUGCCCCCCGUAGG
rnacentral:rRNA from 1 species